CGGGGUGUAGCUCAGUGGUUCAGCGCUUGCCUAGCAGGUGUGAAGCCCUGGGUUCAAUCCUCAGCACCCCAU
rfam:Ictidomys tridecemlineatus contig071257, whole genome shotgun sequence.